CCGGGGUAAGCUUGGUGCUACCUCUUUUCUUUUGUUUGUUAUUUUCUUUGAAUAAGAGGAUUGAGAGUUUUUGAAUAUUGUGAAGUGAAUUAUAGAAUGGAAAUGUGAUUGGUAUUAUUUGAGAAGAAAAAAGAUUGAAUGCUGAAAUCUGAUUGUAGUUCAGCAGAGAGAAUGAUUCUAUGUUUGUGUGAAACACCGUAAUGUGAAUGGCAGUUCUAUGUGAAGAAUUCGAGUGAUUGGAAUGAAGGUAAUUGUGUGCUGAAAGCUGUGAGGGUGCAGUAUUACAAAUGGAGAUUAUGAGGGUGAAUAUAUUGGUAGAAAUAGCAGUUAUUGGUAUGACUGAAUUGUUGUAAGGAAGAGACCGAUAAGGUGAAGGAAGAGAUUAUAGUUUCCUUGUGUAUUCAGAUAUUGAAAAUAGAGAUGAUACAUUUAGGAGGUAAUUGAUUGUGUGAUCCUAAUAUGAACGCUUAAGCAACUAGUCAUUCUCUAUGUUCGAAUUCCCCUAUAUGGUUUUAUUCCUAUUAGAUUAAUUUAGAAUAAAUAAAACGAGCAAUCAUAUUUUGGUGCCGCUGCCAGGGAGUGAUAAUAGCUUUGAGUGUUAGGAAUUAAUUACCAAACGUGUGAAAAAAUUGGCAAUGAAAGAUGAUUUCAGUAGUGUUUGAAGCAAGAUUAUGGUUAAUAAUAACGAAAGCAUUGCAUCGAGGAAAAUAAAUCAGUCGAGAGAAAGACAUGGAAAAGUGCAAGGAAGGAACUUGCUUAGAGAGAAGCAAGAACGUAAUCUUAAAAAGGAGCAUCAACAAAAUUGGAUUAAACCAUAGUUGUAAGCUUGUCGAUGCAUCCAAACAUAUCAAGAACUGGACAGACUAUUAAUUCUGCAGUCGUAUGUACCAUUAGAAAAACUGCUAAGAACACUCGUGGGAAAUUUUGUUAACAUUUUAGUAGAAAUCUUGAGGCCGUUAAUUGAAAGAGAAGGAGGCAUAGAGGAAUUUGGUACUCCAUUGGGUAUUAUGCACUAGUAGAGGGUACUGCUGAAACGAGCAAUAGUGGCUCUUCUGAUUGGUACAAAUUGGUCGCCAAUAAAGAUAACUAUAUUGUAUUUUAAAAUCUGACGUUUUUACCUGUAAUUCAACCAAUAAAACUAAUUGCAGAAAAUAAUAGUAAAUUGAAGAGUACUGAGAGCUCAGAAAUUAGAAUAAGGAAAAAUAGAGAUUAUUUUAAAACAAAGUUUAGUAGAACAAGAAUUUCAAUUAUAACAUGUGUAGCUAAUAAUGGCAGAAUUGAAGAUAUUUGGUUGCGAUGGCUGCUAGUGACCUUAAAAGACACAGCGUUUGAAUGGUACAACCACCAACCAGUGGAUCAAUUUCUAAAUUGGAAAGCAUUGAAGAAUGUAUUUUUAUCUCAUUUUCGGCCAAUUGGUUUUGAGGACCGCCUUCGACAGAGGUUAAUGAAUAGCAAAAUGAUCCCAAGGGAGGCGGUAGAAUCGUACUAUGGCCGAGUGGCUGAUAUACUCAGUAAGUGGCCAAAUCACCAAAUGCCAGAGGUAUUUAUCUUAUCCAUAUUAAUCAAUGAUUUGCAUCCACCAGAGCUAAAAAUGUUUGCAAAGGAAGCUCUUACCAUUACGGUGGCUGCGUUUCUUAAUAGAGCUAAGGUUUGGAAGGAAUGCCAUUAUGAUCAGUUUUUAAUUGCGAGAGCCACGAUGAUUCUAGUUCAAGGUAGAUAUCAAAAUUUGACUUAGAACAAAUCAGUGGAUAGUUAUCCACGGAUGUUAGAAACAGGGGCUAAUUCCAAUACCAAUAUUCAGGGGCCAGUUAAUGUCACCUCAUUGCAAGCUAUACCACCAAACAUGAUAACAUCAUAUGCUCCAUAUUUUUUGUAUCAACAACAAGCAUUAACUACAGUAGAGAUACUAAUAAUGCAAGCCUUAAAAGAUUCCAAUGAAACCUUGUUAUUAAAUUUGACAAAGAAAAUGGAGGAAAUGGUUGUCAAUAUGACCAAAGAUAAGCAGAAGAGGCAAAAGCCUACCAAUACUAGGACCAAUGUAUGGUAUAGUAAUUGUAAGGGCCAUGGUCAUUCUGUAACACAAUGCCCCUCACCCUCACAAAUAAUGGGUCAAUGUACAUUUUGCGGAAGAAAGUACCUAAUAGCAAAUUGUUGUAAUUGGCAAAGAUAACAACAAUUUAGUAAUCAAACCAUGAUCCCACCAACCCAGUGGGACAUCAAUCAAGUACAAAUAGGAAAUACAUUUGGAUGGAAUGGAAAUCAAUUUAAUCGACAAAAUUGAGCAUUCUAUAACUUUCAAAGUUCCAAUUUUAAUCAGGGGUCUGCAUUGAACCCUCAGAACUAUGGUAAGCAGCAGCAGAGGUAUCAACAAUAUGCUCCACUAACGUCAUCAAACCAAGUUCUCUCAAUACCAAUGGGACAACCAGGAUUAUUUUCUAAUCCUACAUGGAACAAGCCUAGUAGGUAUAUACCGGUGGAGACACCCAAUAUGCUUGAUGGGGGUAUAAGAAGACCACUUCGUUGUUUUCGUUGCAGACAGAUUAGUCAUUAUGCCAAUGAAUGUCCCAAUCUUAGAGCUAGUGACGAUUAUGAACCAGUUUGUAGGAAUUAUAAGCAGUUGGGGCAUACGUAUCAACAAUAUAAUGCUCUGUUCAAUGUCAAUAAUCGGGAUCAGCAGAUCCAAAGCCAAGGAAAAAUUGAGGAGAUAAAUCGAGGUCCUCAAGAUUCUGUGAUAAAUUGGGUGGAAUGUGUCUAAGCCGUUCUUAUCCGGAGUCAGCAAAAGUAAAAAGGACCAAUUCAACAUCUGGGUAAUCUUGAUACAAAAGACUAAUUUGACCCAAUUAGGGGACCAUCCAAUCCAGGUCCUGUUAUGGGCUUCGUACCCAAUAUGAGACCUUACUCGGUGGCACAAGUUAAUGAGGUCCCAAUUACGAAGGCUUUGGUUGGGUUCGAAGCAGUUCUGAUCUCUACAUAGUUUCAAGAAACGUCCUAUCCGUUGAAAGAUCCUCUCGAGGGCGAGAAUUCCAAAGAAGCCUCGACUGCUAUUCCAAUUUCGAGUCAAGGGCGGAAGAAUAUCUUACAUCACGGAGUUAAACUCAAACCAAUGAAAAGAAAGAGGGCAUUGGGAAUUAUUCUAAAUAUGGAAUUCUAUGAUAUUUUAAAGGAUCUGGAUGCUAUUCAGCCUUCUAUUUCUAUGAAGCAACUUCUAGCGGUCGUACCAGAGUGCCGUUCUAUAUUGAAUUCAUCGUUAAGACGGCAUAGGGAUCGUAAUAAAGAAGUUUGUGAAGUCAGUUUGAACCCUGACCCAAGUACACCAACCAUCGAUGUUUCGAUUGAUGAUAUUAUGAUCUUUGGUGUUCAGAUGGAUGGUGGUUCCAGCAUCAAUUUAAUGAACGCUGAUACAAUGGAUGCUUUAGAUUUGGAACACUUAGUACCCACGACAUUGGUAUUAUGGAUGGCAGAUCAUUGUCGGUUUAAACCAACAGGUAUCUUACGGAGUGUUCAAACUAUGAUUACCGAUAUUGCAUAUGAAAUCGACUAUAUUGUCUUUCAGUUAUAACGUUCGACUUUAUCGUAUCCAAUUUUAUUGGGACGACCCUGGCUUUAUCAAGAAAAGGCCAAGAACGAUUAGGAUCGGGGUACUUUGACAAUUGGCAAGGGUGAAAAUAAAAUGGUGUUACAAAUGUACCGAGUACACUAUCACAGGGAGUCUCAAUUGCUAGCAUCUAAAUUAACGUCAGACGAUGAGCUUAGCUCUGAUGACAAUGCAGUAACACCAAUUACGGAGGUGCCUGUGGAGGCAGCACUACACCCUGGAGUGGUGUACCAAUGUGGAGGUCUGUGGGAGUACUUGGUAUACCCGAUGGACUCGAAAAACUUGGAUUAUAUUAGUACUGAUUGGACGACCAAGUAUGAUGUACACCAUGUUAGUGCCCUAGACACAGGAUUCAGUACUUCGUACAUGUCGAACUUAACGAGUGACUUUAAAGUAGUGCGGGAAUUGAAACAGAAUAUCGCCAUUGCACCUUUAUGUCAAACUAUUAGCUUGGAAAUCACAGCAGAACCUCGGACAAUUAAGGUCUACAAAGAUAUUAAGGAUCAAGAAUUGACCUACUGGACCAAAUUUUUCUUGCAUCAUAAAUCCACUUUUGUGUGGACUUAUGAUGAUUUAAAAGGUAUUCCCACUGAAGUUUGUGAGCAUCGUAUUAUUUUAGAGGAGAAUGCUAAACCGGUCUGGCAAAGGCAACAUCACCUUAAUCUUAAAUAUUCCCUCAUAGUGAAGGAAGAAUUGAACAAGCUUCUUGCGGUUGGUUUUAUUUACCCAGUACCAAAUAAUGAGUGGGUUUCUCCAAUUAUGAUGGUACUGAAAAAGAAUGGAAAAAUCCAAAUUUGUCAAGAUUUUCAGAAACUUAAUGCAGCCACCAAGAAAGAUUACUUCCCAUUGUCCUUCAUGGAUAGUAUAUUGGACGCUGUAGCAGGUCAUGAAUGUUAUUCAUUCGUAGAUGGAUUUUUCAGGUAUAAUCAGGUUCAAAUUGCAACGAAAGAUCAGCUCAAAAUGACCUUUAUUAUGGAUUGGGGCACAUUCACUUAUUGCGUGAUGCCUUUUGGGUUAUAUAACGCUCCAGCCACGUUUCAGAGAGUGAUGACUCAGGCCUUCCAAGACUAUCUCCGGCUGUUUAUGGAGAUCUUUUUAGAUGACUUCUGUGCAUUCAGUACAAAACAAGAUCAUCUUAAUUGUCUCGGCAAAUGCUUGGCUUAGUGCACUAAGUUUGGAAUAUCGUUGAACUCGGAUAAGUAUCAAUUUGAUAUUCCGUCAAGAAAAUUAUUGGGACAUAUCGGCUCUAGCCACGAUAUUGCUAUGGAUUUAGACAAAGUGACACAUAUAAUGAACUUGCCUAGACCAAAGACGGUCUCUGGUGUUCGAGGAUUCGUCAGCCAUGUCAGUUAUUACCGACGAUUUAUUCGUUCGUUUGUAAUUAUUUGUCAACCUUUAACGAACUUACUGAAGAAACCUCUGUUAGAUUAGACUAGUCCCAUCUGGACAAUGGAGUGUACCGUGGCCUUUGAAGCAUUGAAGUCAAAGUUGGUCUCUGUACCGAUAUUGGUAGCCCCUCGUUGGACCGAGCCCUUUCAUGUGUAUGUUGAUGCAUCCAAUGUGACUAUUAGAUCGGUGCUAAGUCAAAAAGAUGACCAGGGUCUGGAUCAUCCUAUCUAUUAUGUUAGUUGGUAAUUGGUGGCUAUCGAACGUAAUUAUACUACUACUAAACGAGAAGCGUUGGGUAUCAUAUACUCGGUUCAGAAAUUUCAGCACUAUUUGCUUGGGUAUCCAUUUGUCUUUUAUGUAGAUCAUGAUGCCCUCAAAUACAUGAUUAAUAAGCCUCAAUUGAGUGGAUGCAUUGCUCGAUGGGUGUUAUUACUUCAAGAAUUUAAUUUUACUAUCAAUGUAUGACUAGGAAAGAAACAUGCUAAUGCGAAUCACUUAUCCCGAUUGUCCAAUAUCUUAGGUAAUGAGCCUAUUAGUGAUGCACUUCCUAAUGCAUAGUUAUUUGCCGUCGAAGUGAUUACAACCGACUAUAGUGAAUUGAUUCAAUAUCAGACAUUUCAGACAUUCUCACUUACAUAUAGUGAGAAACUCAAGAAACUACUAAUUUUAAAAAGUACACCAUAUACGAUGAUGGGAGAUGCCUUAUAUAAGCAAGGUCGGGAUGGAAUUCUAUGUCGUUGCAUCUUUUCCAGUGAAGUAGAAUUGAUACUAGAGAAAUGUCAUUUGGAUAGUUAUGGUGGAUAUUUUGUGGAAGAUAGUACUGCUCGCAAGGCUUUAAUGGCCGGAUAUUGGUAGCCCAGAAUGUUUUCUGAUGCGCACUAAUUUGUUCAUCUUUGUAUUCCCUAUCAACAAAUUGGUGGAUCCACGGAUACUUCAGCGAUGCCGUUAGUACCAAUCUUAUCACUGGCACCAUUUGAGAAAUGGGAAAUUGAUUUUGUUGGAGCCAUUGCACUAACAUUGAGACAUGUACAAAAGUGGUAUAUUUUAGUCGCCACGGACUAUGUAACCAAAUGGGCGGAGGCUAUUGCUAUCCGCAAUGAUAAUGCCAGUACGAUGGCCACUUUUCUAUAUGAGAAUAUUAUUACUCGAUUUGGAUGUCUGAAGGAAUUGGUUAGUAAUCGUGGCACCCAUUUUAUAAAUGCUACCAUAGCAGCCUUGACGAAUACAUACAAAAUCAAGCACAGGAAAACAACACCAUAUCAUUCUCGGGCCAAUGGACAGACGAUAAAGACCAAUAGUAUUCUAUGUAAGAUUUUAACCAAAAUAAUUUUGGACGCGAGAAUAGAUUGAGAUACUAAAUUGUUUGCGGCAUUGUGGGUGUAUCGUACUGCAUAUAAAGUGACUACCAAUUCCACACCAUUACAAUUGGUGUAUGGGUAAGAAGCAAUAUUACCAGUUGAAUUGGAAGUUUAGAGUUUAUACAUUGCGUUAGAUGAACGCCUUAGAGAUAAGGAAUCACUCCAAUAUCGGUUGGUAGAGUUGGACAAAUUAGAUGAAAUACGGGCUACAGCUCUCUUCAACAUGGAAGCAAUUCAAAAACGGUGGAAAAAUUACUAUGAUAGUAAACUGAGUCUGAAGAGUUUUAUGCCCAAUGAUUUGAUAUUGUUGUAUGAUAGCAGGUUUAAUCAUUUUUUGGGCAAAUUUUAAGUUUGGUGGAAUGGACCAUAUCGUGUGAUUGAAGGAUUUUCCAAUGAAUCUGUUCAAUUGGAAGAUUUCAUGGGUCAUCGAUUCAGUACCCGCAUUAACGGGAAUCGAUUACGAUUAUAUCAUACUUAAAACUCGGGACGGAUUUUUAAUUUUUGGAAGAGGUUAUGUCGAAUGUACUUAGGAUAGAUCUAAUUAAGUACAUUAAGGUGUAGAGGCGGCUGAAAGGAUAGUUAGUAAUUACUAAUGUGUCAGAUGGGACGGAGGUGAAAAACGGACAGUAGGGAUAACAUGUUGUCGUUAUCACCACUAGGUAAAAGAAUAGGAGUGGAGCACCCAUUUACGGUCAUUCUUAGGUGUCGCAUUCUGUUAUUGUUUCUUUUUGGUGUUACAAUUUUGGGUGUUUCGGAGUACUGGAGCGUAGUGUUGAUGGUUAAAGCUUAAAAGAGUGUGCGUCAUGGCAAUUGAAAGUGCAAAGAGAGCUACGGACAGAGAAGAAAGUGGCCAAAAUGUGAAAGCAAAACGUAAUUUAGAACCACCAUCCAUAGUAAUCGUUACCAAUAUAGAGCCUAUGAAGCUGGAAAUUUGCUGGAUGCUAAAGAGAAUACGAGAUUUUUGAAACACGCAAAUGUUUCAGUUUUUGUGAAGGUCAGAUAGUUUGCCUUCAAUUAAUGUGGCAAGAGUGGAAGAAUACAUCACGAACUAUGACCCACAAGAUGGAUCGAGCAUAGUAGAAGGGUGCGUUAUCGGUAUUGAUGACAAGAUCCUCAAAAAAGUACUGUUUCUUCCAGUUAGAGAGAUUGCGAUGGAUGUUGAGGAGUGCAGUGACUUUCGAUUGGGAAGUUAUUUCAAAGGUGGCAUGUCAUCAUUUGAGAAGAACCAAGGUUGGCGGACGGCUGAGGCAAUUACACUAGAGCUCAUGGAAUGGUUGCGCUUCAUACUGAGGCGUUUAGGAUUGUAUCGACACAAUACAUAUAUGUCAAGACGGUUAAUAUUUGCAGUGGUAGGAACAUUUGAAGGGAUGGUGUUCAAUUGGGCAGCUUAUGUAGCAACCCGUAUUCAUGCGAAAAUGAGAGCCAAGCACAAAAUAGAAAAGUUUACAGCGUUGCUAUGUUCCAAUUAUGUGUAUGCUAUAAUUACAUACACAUUGCGGCAAACAUUGCCAAUAGAGGGAAGUUCUGAACCAGUGCCAAUACCUCCACAGCGAGAACAGAAUUCAUUGGCACAAAAUGUCAAUACAACGGAGGUAAUACAUGAAAUUGGAGAAUCCAGUCGUCAGGUGGCACCGAAAAUGGAUCCGAUUUAUUCAGUGGUGGAGGAGAAGAAAGAACUAUUUUGGGCUCACAGUCAUUCAAUUUUGGAACUGGAAAUAGUAAAGGAUCAGUUGAUAAUGGAACAAAAAAAGGCCAAGUUAUUGGUGAAAGAGAAAUUGGUAUUGAUUGAGUAAUACAGAUGUGAAACGGAGUAGUUAAGAGCUAAAAUUGAGGCCUUGAAUGCCAAGGUGACAAGAUUGACAGAGAAUUUAGUCAAUAUUGGUGAAGCACAAGUAUCGACGUUGUCAAUUCUCGAAGUUCCAGAAGAGAGGAAUCACUUUCAGCGCUAGUUGGAAUUAAGAGAUGUCCAGAUCUUGAAAUUGAAAGCUCAAGUUCGUGAACUGGGUAAGUACAAUGAAGACCUUUUAACUCAGUUUAGGCAAGAGCCGAUGGAAGGAUUGGAAGAAGAAGAAGAUUUACAAUUGGAACUAGAUUUAGUCGAACCUACAUUAGAUAAUGCAGCAAAUGAUUAAUUAAGUGGACCAAAGGAACUAGUAACUUUAUGGAGAUUUGUUAAAUAGUUUUUAGAUAGGUAUCAAUUGAGUGUUUGUGAGGAUGCUGCAUAGAUAGGAGUGGGGCUAUGUAGAAUAAAUAUUAAUUUAUUUUUGAAAGAUAUUGGUAAAAUAUAUUAAUAGUCGAUAUAAUAGGAAAUUCAGGAGGACGGAUGAAUGAUUUAGUUCUUAAAAGCGAUUAAUUACAGAAUUAUGGUUAGAAUGUGGAGAAUCAGGGAAAAGUAUAUAGGAGUUGUAUAAGUUAAUUAAGGUGCUAGACUGUGAUAGUUAUGAGCCGAGGGCCAUCGCUGUAAUAGUGUGAGCCGAGGUAAGCUUGGUACUACUUCUUUUUUUUUGUUUGUUAUUUUCUUUGAAUAAGAGGAUUAAGAGUUUUUGAAUAUUAUGAAGUGAAUUAUGGAAUGGAAAUGUGAUUGGUAUUAUUUGAGAAGAAAAAAGAUUGAAUGCUGAAAUCUGAUUGUAGUUCAGCAGAGAGAAUGAUUCUAUGUUUGUGUGAAACAUCGUAAUAUGAAUGGUAAUUCUAUGUGAAGAAUUCCAGUGAUUGGAAUGAAGGUAAUUGUGUGCUGAAAGCUGUGAGGGCACAAUAUUACAAAUGGAGAUUAUGAGGGUGAAUAUAUUGGUAGAAAUAGCAGUUAUUGAUAUGACUGAAUUGUUGUAAAGAAGAGACCAAUAAGGUGAAGGAGGAGAUUAUAGUUUCCUUGUGUGUUCAGAUAUUGGAAAUAGAGAUGAUACAUUUAGGAGGUAAUUGAUUGUAUGAUCCUAACGUGAAUGCUUAAGCAACUAAUCAUU
rnacentral:lncRNA from 1 species